UGGGGAAUAUUGCACAAUGGGCGGAAGCCUGAUGCAGCGACGCCGCGUGGGGGAUGAAGGCCUUCGGGUUGUAAACUCCUUUCGACAGGGACGAAGCUUUUGUGACGGUACCUGUAUAAGAAGCACCGGCUAACUACGUGCCAGCAGCCGCGGUAAUACGUAGGGUGCGAGCGUUGUCCGGAAUUACUGGGCGUAAAGAGCUCGUAGGUGGUUUGUCGCGUCGUCUGUGAAAUUCCGGGGCUUAACUCCGGGCGUGCAGGCGAUACGGGCUGACUUGAGUGCUGUAGGGGAGACUGGAAUUCCUGGUGUAGCGGUGAAAUGCGCAGAUAUCAGGAGGAACACCGAUGGCGAAGGCAGGUCUCUGGGCAGUAACUGACGCUGAGGAGCGAAAGCAUGGGUAGCGAAUAGG
rnacentral:rRNA from 1 species